rnacentral:rRNA from 1 species
GAUCCUGGCUCAAGAUGAACGCUAGCUACAGGCUUAACACACGCAAGUCGAGGGGCAUCAGUUUGGUUUGCUUGCAAACCAAAGCUGGCGACCGGCGCACGGGUGAGUAACACGUAUCCAACCUGCCUCAUACUCGGGGAUAGCCUUUCGAAAGAAAGAUUAAUAUCCGAUAGCAUAUAUUUCCCGCAUGGGUUUUAUAUUAAAGAAAUUCGGUAUGAGAUGGGGAUGCGUUCCAUUAGUUUGUUGGGGGGGUAACCGG